UACGAAGGGGGCUAGCGUUGUUCGGAAUUACUGGGCGUAAAGGGCGCGUAGGCGGCUUAUCAAGUCAGGGGUGAAAUCCUAGAGCUCAACUCUAGAACUGCCUUUGAAACUGAUAAGCUAGAGUUUGGUAGAGGAUAGUGGAAGUCCUAAUGUAGCGGUGAAAUGCGUAGAUAUUAGGAGGAACACCAGUGGCGAAGGCGGCUAUCUGGGCCAAUACUGACGCUGAGGCGCGAAAGCGUGGGGAGCAAACAGG
rnacentral:rRNA from 1 species